GUGCAGCAGUCGAGAAUACUUUACAAUGUGCGAAAGCACGAUAAGGGAACUCUGAGUGCCUCCUAAGGAGGCUGUUCAGGUGUCUAAAAGCACCUGAAGGAAGGGCUAGGUAAGACCGGUGCCAGCCGCCGCGGUAACACCGGCAGCCCAAGUGGUAGCCACGUUUAUUGGGUCUAAAGCGUCCGUAGCCGGCUGGGUAAGUUCCUUGGGAAAUUUGGCUGCUUAACAGUCAAGCUUUCAGGGAAUACUGCCCGGCUUGGGGACCGGGAGAGGUCAGAGGUACUCCAGGGGUAGGGGUGAAAUCCAUUAAUCCUUGGGGGACCACCGGUAGCGAAGGCGUCUGACCAGACCGGGUCCGACGGUGAGGGACGAAGGCUAGGGGCGCGAACCGGAUUAGAUACCCGGGGUAGU
rnacentral:rRNA from 1 species